UACGGGGGGGGUAAGCGUUGUUCGGAAUUACUGGGCGUAAAGGGCUCGUAGGCGGCCAACUAAGUCAGACGUGAAAUCCCUCAGCUUAACUGGGGAACUGCGUCUGAUACUGGAUGGCUUGGAUCCGGAAGAGGGAUGCGGAAUUCCAGGUGUAGCGGUGAAGUGCGUAGAUAUCUGGAGGAACACCGGUGGCGAAGGCGGCAUCCUGGGCCGGUAUUGACGCUGAGGAGCGAAAGCCAGGGGAGCAAACGGG
rnacentral:rRNA from 1 species